GACGAACGCUGGCGGCGUGCCUAAUACAUGCAAGUCGAACGCUGAAGGAGGAGCUUGCUUCUCUGGAUGAGUUGCGAACGGGUGAGUAACGCGUAGGUAACCUGCCUGGUAGCGGGGGAUAACUAUUGGAAACGAUAGCUAAUACCGCAUAAUAGUAGAUGUCGCAUGACAUUUGCUUAAAAGGUGCAAUUGCAUCACUACCAGAUGGACCUGCGUUGUAUUAGCUAGUUGGUGAGGUAACGGCUCACCAAGGCAACGAUACAUAGCCGACCUGAGAGGGUGAUCGGCCACACUGGGACUGAGACACGGCCCAGACUCCUACGGGAGGCAGCAGUAGGGAAUCUUCGGCAAUGGACGGAAGUCUGACCGAGCAACGCCGCGUGAGUGAAGAAGGGUUUCGGAUCGUAAAGCUCUGUUGUAAGAGAAGAACGAGUGUGAGAGUGGAAAGCUCACACUGUGACGGUAUCUUACCAGAAAGGGACGGCUAACUACGUG
rnacentral:rRNA from 1 species